GGGAUUGCCCUAGUAACGGCGAGUGAAGCGGCAACAGCUCAAAUUUGAAAUCUGGCGCAAGUCCGAGUUGUAAUUUGUAGAGGAUGCUUCUGGGUAGCGACCGGUCUAAGUUCCUUGGAACAGGACGUCAUAGAGGGUGAGAAUCCCGUAUGUGACCGGCCCGCACCCUUGACGUAGCUCCUUCGACGAGUCGAGUUGUUUGGGAAUGCAGCUCUAAAUGGGAGGUAAAUUUCUUCUAAAGCUAAAUACCGGCCAGAGACCGAUAGCGCACAAGUAGAGUGAUCGAAAGAUGAAAAGUACUUUGGAAAGAGAGUUAAAAAGCACGUGAAAUUGUUGAAAGGGAAGCGCCUGCAAUCAGACUUCGCGGCAGUGUUCCGCCGGUCUUCUGACCGGUUUAUUCUCUGUCGCGAGGCCAUCAUCGUCUCGGCCCGCUGGAUAAGACCUUGGGAAUGUAGCUCACCUUCGGGGGAGUGUUAUAGCUCAUGGUGAUGCAGCGAGGCUGGGGCGAGGUCCGCGCUUCGGCAAGGAUGAUGGCGUAAUGGUUGUCGGCGGCCCGUCUUGAAACACGGACCAAGGAGUCUAACAUCUAUGCGAGUGUUCGGGUGUCAAACCCCUACGCGUAAUGAAAGUGAACGGAGGUGGGAACCGCAAGGUGCACCAUCGACCGAUCCUGAUGUCCUCGGAUGGAUUUGAGUAAGAGCAUAGCUGUUGGGACCCGAAAGAUGGUGAACUAUGCCUGAAUAGGGUGAAGCCAGAGGAAACUCUGGUGGAGGCUCGCAGCGGUUCUGACGUGCAAAUCGAUCGUCAAAUUUGGGUAUAGGGGCG
rnacentral:rRNA from 1 species